rnacentral:rRNA from 1 species
UACGAAGGGGACUAGCGUUGUUCGGAAUCACUGGGCGUAAAGCGCACGUAGGCGGAUAUGCCAGUCAGGGGUGAAAUCCCGGGGCUCAACCUCGGAACUGCCUUUGAUACAGCAUGUCUUGAGUCCGAUAGAGGUGGGUGGAAUUCCUAGUGUAGAGGUGAAAUUCGUAGAUAUUAGGAAGACCCCCAGUGGCGAAGGCGGCCCACUGGAUCGGUCCUGACGCUGAGGUGCGAAAGCGUGGGGAGCAAACAGG